rnacentral:sRNA from 1 species
GCGCCUGCAAAAUCAGGCAUCGGGAUUGGCCUCCUGACUAACUCCAUCGACGACACAAGGCGUUAUCGCUUUUUUU